GCGGCAAGCCUAACACAUGCAAGUCGAGCGGCAGCGGGAGGAAGCUUGCUUCCUUGCCGGCGAGCGGCGGACGGUUGAGUAAGGUAUGGGGAUCUGGCCGAAGGCGGGGGAUAACCACUGGAAACGGUGGCUAAUACCGCAUAAUCUCUAAGGAGCAAAGUGGGGGACCGUUCUGGCCUCACACCUUCGGAUGAACCCAUAUGAGAUUAGCUAGUAGGUGGGGUAAUGGCUCACCUAGGCGACGAUCUCUAGCUGGUCUGAGAGGAUGAUCAGCCACACUGGGACUGAGACACGGCCCAGGCUCCUACGGGAGGCAGCAGUGGGGAAUAUUGCACAAUGGGCGCAAGCCUGAUGCAGCCAUGCCGCGUGUAUGAAGAAGGCCUUCGGGUUGUAAAGUACUUUCAGUCGUGAGGAAGGUGUUAAGGUUAAUAACCUUAGCAAUUGACGUUAGCGACAGAAGAAGCACCGGCUAACUCCGUGCCAGCAGCCGCGGUAAUACGGAGGGUGCGAGCAUUAAUCGGAAUUACUGGGCGUAAAGGGCACGCAGGCGGUUAAUUAAGUUGGAUGUGAAAUCCCCGGGCUUAACCUGGGAAUGGCAUUCAAGACUGGUUAGCUAGAGUCUUGUAGAGGGGGGUAGAAUUCCAUGUGUAGCGGUGAAAUGCGUAGAGAUGUGGAGGAAUACCGGUGGCGAAGGCGGCCCCCUGGACAAGGACUGACGCUCAUGUGCGAAAGCGUGGGGAGCAAACAGGAUUAGAUACCCUGGUAGUCCACGCUGUAAACGAUGUCGAUUUGGAGGUUGUGGUCAUGAACUGUGGCCUCCGGAGCUAACGCGUUAAAUCGACCGCCUGGGGAGUACGGCCGCAAGGUUAAAACUCAAAUGAAUUGACGGGGGCCCGCACAAGCGGUGGAGCAUGUGGUUUAAUUCGAUGCAACGCGAAGAACCUUACCUACUCUUGACAUCCAGCGAAUCCUUUAGAGAUAGAGGAGUGCCUUCGGGAACGCUGAGACAGGUGCUGCAUGGCUGUCGUCAGCUCGUGUUGAGAAAUGUUGGGUUAAG
rnacentral:rRNA from 1 species